AUCAGGGCCAAAUAAAAAGAUUGUAUGUUUGCCCAAACGCGACCGACCCAAAAUAAACCCGCCGACUCAAAUUCUUUUUUUACGUUUUUUUGAAGAAAUUUUUUUUUCUGAUUUUUUUUGGGUCCGCUCCGUCAUCGUACAAAACUUAAUGUUUGUCGUCUUUGCGUUUGAAAGUAACUGUGAAUAAGAUUAAAAGAAAGCGUAUAAGAGACGCAGUUAAUCGAUUUUCGAUGUUCUCUGUUUUUAUCUUCUGAUUUAACGAACGUAAAGAAGUAAAACAAGUGAAGUGGCACAGUUUUAUUUACGCUGUAGUUGUCUGUACUACCAAACCCUUACCUAUAUGCUCAAUGUUAAUUUCAUCGUGUUAUCGAAUAUCUGAUAAGAAUAUUCAGGUAGAUUUGUUCAAAACCAUGUGCAAUCGAAUAUUUUCAAUGUUAUUCUGACAGGAAAUGGAUCCGGAAGUUGCGAAUUUACAAUCUUGCAAGAAGAUUUUGUUUUUACUGAAUAAAA
rnacentral:lncRNA from 1 species